GCGUGUAGGCGGCCUUUUAAGUCUGAUGUGAAAGCCCGGGGCUUACCCCCGGAAGUGCAUUGGAAACUGGGAGGCUAGAGUACCGGAGAGGAAGGUGGAAUUCCUGGUGUAGCGGUGGAAUGCGCAGAUAUCAGGAGGAACACCAAUAGCGAAGGCAGCUCGCUGGGACGGUACUGACGCUAAUGCGCGAAAGCGUGGGGAGCGAACAGGAUUAGAUACCCUGGUAGUCCACGCCGUAAACGAUGGGCACUAGGUGUGGGAGGUGUCGACCCCUCCCGUGCCGUCCCUAACGCACUAAUUGCCCCGCCGGGGGAGUACGGCCGCAAGGCUAAAACUCAAAGGAAUUGACGGGGGCCCGCACAAGCAGCGGAGCAUGUGGUUUAAUUCGACGCAACGCGAAGAACCUUACCUGGGCUUGACAUGUUGGUGACCGCCGUGGAAACACGGUUUUCCUUCGGGACACCAUCACAGGUGGUGCAUGGCUGUCGUCAGCUCGUGUGUGAGAUGUUGGGUUAAGUCCCGCAACGAGCGCAACCCCCGUUCCAUGUU
rnacentral:rRNA from 1 species